UUCCUCACGCAGUGGCAGUAUCGUAGUCAAUGAGGUUAAUCUGAGGCACGGUUAUUGCUAAUUU
rnacentral:snRNA from 1 species